AGUCACAAGAGGCCCUGAGCUCUGUGGGCCCCAGGUGCCCCGGGAAAACUUGGGGGAGAAUGGGCAUCCCACCCCAGCACUUUCUAGGAAGAAGGGCAGCAUUUUGAAGGGCUGGAAGUAGAGGAAGGAGGUUGCGGGUAGAAGACUCCAUACUUUCUGUGACGCCUAUUCCUUAGGAGAGCCUUUAUAUAACCAAAGAUAUUUUUGGACCAUGAAUUCAGAAAUUCUCGGAGCCACCCAUCAGUGCCUGAGCUUCAGUGAGUCCAUAUCCCAUGUCACCCACGGCAAAGGAGACUCUAAGACUUCUGAAGAGUUUCUUGCUUCUUUCCUGUGGGGCAGUGACUCCACUUCCCAGCAGUAAUGGAAUAUCCUGAAUUAGCUACAUUAAUGUUAGAACCAUUUGGACCUCACCCAGGACUUCAACUACAUUAUGCUAAAGUUACAGAACCCAAAUUUGGCAACUGUCUGCAUCUGAACAACAGAAGUUUCAACAUUCUGCCAACAGAGUAACUCCUGGACGAUUGGCACAGAAGAAGGCACAAGGCAAAUACCCAUCUCUGUACACCCUGUGCUACUGUGUCAUGUGCUGCUCCAGGCAACUCCAAUGGAUUGGCCACCCUGGCCAAUGUGUUCUAGUAUGUUACGUUUAUGUUCCCCUGCUUUCUACAAUCCUGUUCAAAGAGUUGCUGACUUAACCACAGAGAGGAUUCCAGAACCUGAGACACAGAAUAAACUUGAGCAAUCAUAGUCCAUCCACUUCAUUGUCUCAUCAAAAACCAAAGGUCCAGUGAAGCUCUGGAACUCAACGCUGUAAAGGAGCGAAGGAGCUUCUAUACAGAGCCUGGAUGCCUGUCUCCUUAUCCUAC
ensembl:lncRNA STARD13-AS STARD13 antisense RNA